CCUCGGCUGUCGAGGAAUUAGGUACAUCGCUUGCCUUGGCUCGACAAACAUCAACAUUCUUGAAGUCGAGUAUGACUUGGGCCUCCUCGGCCCGGUUGGUACGCAGGGAAAAUGAACGAAGACGGCUAAGUUCUAUCUUUCUAAGAAGAAGAAGUAGAAGAAGAAGAAGAAGACGCAGACCUCGUACAAUUAUCCGUGCGCUAAAGAGAAACGUUUUACGUCGUUCAACCACAAAAUAUAUAAAGGAAAA
rnacentral:lncRNA from 1 species